AUGACCUCAUGUUACUCUUAGAUGCUGGGUCUAGACCAAGUUGGUUACCAUGCUAUGAGGAGAGGCCCAUGUGGCAAGGAAUUUGGCCUCCUGCCGCAAGCCAAUUAGGAACUGAGGCCUUCUGCAAUAACGAAGUUAAGUGAAGCAUUUGGAAAUGGAUCUUCCUUCUACAACCAACCUUCAUAUAAGCUCCCACUUAUAUGUAGCUCUCACUAAGUCUGACAGCAACAAAAUGAGACAUUCUAAGCCAGAACUACCCAGCUAAACCACUCCCAGAUUUCUGGACUCCCAAUCUACUCCAACAUUUACUAUUCUCUUGGACCUCUUUGAUGUGAUAGAAGAGGAGUCUCAAAAUCAAAUGUCUUCUGUGGCCAGGAAGAUGAACUAAAUGUACUAAGCAAAAUCAUCUGAGUAAUCAGGCAAUAGAGAGAAUGAAAAAUGCAAAAAUGCAAAGAGCUAUCAAGUGAUACCAUGCCAAAAUGUAUUCACAUUCAAAUGUAUUUUUAACCGUCUCUGGAUCAAGUUUUCAGCCAGAUCUGUUCCUUACAUUAACAGUUUGGUUUACAGAAUAGAGCACGGUGGUUAAAAUCUACUGUGACAGUCAAAACAGACUCCAAGCUCCAGCUCUGCCACUUGCUGACUUUAGUAACACAGGCCUUGUCAUACGUGGAUUAAUGUGAGCCUUAGACCCCUUUCUAAUCAGAGGGUAAUAAUAGCAGUACUUCUGCAUAGGUCAUAAUAAAGACCAAAUAAUGGGGUAACCUGUGUAAAUUGAUUUGAACAAUGCCUGAUGCACAGUGAUUUCUCAAUAAAUAUUAACUAUUAUUAGUAUUAAUGAAUCUUAACUAAGUUUUCCAAAGAGACUUACAAUUUAGUGUUCAAAUUUAUUCUUAGUAGGAUCUAGAAAGGUUUAUUUCAAAUUAAAUGUUUACUGGGAUAUUAGUAUUACAAUCUAUGCUUGCAGUUAAUCAUACAAGGAUAAUAUAUGUGAUCAUGUAUUAAGUACAAUGUAUUAUACAUUAGCAAUGGUAACUUCCUGAUGACUGAUGGCUAGUCCGUUAUUCCAUAAUGGCAUCUAUAUAUUUUCCAUCAUAUUCACAGAGUGCCUGUGAUUUCUUUAUUUUCAGAAUUACUUUCCCUUCAAAGUGUGCUGCUCUGGAUAUAUUUCCCUGGAAAGUCAUUUUAAAAAUAUUUGAUGAUUCUGCAGACCCCUCUUUAUUAAAAAAAAACUAUAAAUAUUCAACUCUAAAUGUAAAUAAACAUUUAAAUGCAAUGAUGGCAAAGUUUCUUCUGGAAGUGACCGUUGAAAUGAAAAUGACGCAGGAUUAUGGUUCAUUUUAUAUGUUAUUUUAUCUAUUUGCCAUGUUAAUAAAUUUCUGUUGACAGGAUAAACCUGUUGGCUGCUGUUUCUCUUGCUAACAGCCUAUUUAUAUGCACCAUAUAAAUGUUUUAUGGGUAGAUUUCCCAUCAUAACUUGACUUAGAGCAAAAUAAAGAUAUUACAUUGCUGAAGGACAUCUUCUAUGGUCACAGUCUCUUGAUGACUUUUAAAAGAAGGAAUUUAAUUUCUCAAAACAUCAUAAAAUGGUAUUUCUUUUCCUGAAAUAUCUGUUGAUCAUUUGUACAGCAAUUUCUCUAUGCAAACCUUUCAUAUGAAUAUUUUAUAUAGCCUCAUCAUAAUAUUAAUAUGAUAUUAUUAAUUUAUAAUAUUAAUUUAUUCAAUAAAUAUUUAUUAAUGAACCACUCUAUGCCAGACCCUGAGGAUACAAUGGUAAACAAUACCGUCAUGGUCUCUGACUGUGAAGUGUGCUAUCUAAUGGGGAAGGCAUUCAUUAAAAAAAAAAAGAAUUAUGCCAAAUAUGAUUUAAUUAUUUUCAAU